CAUUCCUUGUUGCCACUUGGGGUGUAUUUAAAAACAGUUUUACUUGGCAUAAAAACACAUCAUCUUAGCUCAACUUGAAUUCCUCAAAUUAGGAACACUUGAUUAACCUCCGAGAAAGAUGGAAAAUCGCUGGGAUUUUGGUCGGAGAAUUGGGUUACUUUGCUUCCUUUUCAGUGUCUUCAUUCUGUUUCAAUGCACCACAGCAGAAAACAGAACAUAUCCGGAAGGCAACGUUAAUCUAAGCCCAUUUCAGGCUUGGAGAAGUGCUCAUUGGUGUAUGCUAAAUUUCAGGAAGAACAAUACUUGCAAGAGUAAUAACAUGUUAACGGAACAAGGAGUGUUGGUGGUAAGUCCGGGUGAAGAGGCGGAGUUCUGUAAGGCCGGUGGGUGCGCAGAUCAGACGAGAGCUGUUCUCUCUUGCAUUCAUCAUGUCAAACGUGGCUAUUUCUUCAUGAACCCCAACGGGAUCACCCUUAACCACAUCUACAGCAUCAUCAAAAAUGCCUGCCCCUCCUCGUCUCCUUAAAAGGCUAGAAGUGUUCUAUUCUAUAAGUAGAGAAGGAGAUGGCAUCUUCCAAUAAAUAAGACCAGCAGAAUCAUCAGCAAAAGAAGUGUGUUUUGUUUUUUGGUGGUUGAGUCUGUUGUAGAAAGUUUUAUUAUUAGUUUUAAGUAAUACUAUACUUUCAUUCCAAGUAUGAGAACAAAAUAAGAUUAUGACAUGAAUUAAUUAUUAAUACAAAUCAAAAGUUGCAGCUUUACCUACAAA